rnacentral:snRNA from 1 species
GGAUGUGAGGGCGAUCUGGCUGCGACAUCUGUCAUCCCAGGGUUGACUCGGCUGAUCUGGCUGGCUAGGUGGGUGUUCCCUUCCUCCCUCACCACUCCAUGUGUGUCCCUCCCGAAGCUACGCACUUGGUCGAAGAGGAUGACCUUCCCCGAUAGAGGAGAGGACCGUUCUUCAGUCAAGGGUAUACCAGUAGCUGCGCUCCCCUGCAAACAAGGUCUCAAGAUAAAAAAAUACUUUAUUGUCUUUUUCCCAUUAUGAUCAAAUAAGUGUUAUAGAAAAUUUAUAAAACUGAAAUGAGCAAAAAGAAGCGAAAAUAAAAUAUCCUUAGGUAUGUUUUUCCAUUC